CCUUCAUACCCACAAACCGUUAUAUAAUAGCAUGUGAAAGCUGCGAAGAUGCUUGCCCUUCACCUUCAUCACCGACUGAAGAGUCUGCAUAACCCUCGUUAAAUCGCCCUCUCAAAUCCCCCUUCAGGUCCAGGUUUCCACAGCAGUGAACAACCAACGACGGAUUGGGGCUUCAACACUGGAAUAGAGUCCUGCCACCACCACCGACGAUCCACGAUUUACUCUGCCCUUACUGACAGUCACCUAAGGAGAAAAACAACUAAGAAUCUAUCUCCCGUUUUCUCAUAUCAACAACUUCUACAACUUGACACCCUUUUAUUUAAAUGUCAGCUUGAUUAGUUCUAGACUCAACAUUGACAUUUACUGUAAACUCCAUGAGAAAAAACGAGUCAUUUGUAUAAUAGUAUGUUAGAUUAAUUAAGUAUUAUCAAAAUUGUGCCCACAAGGUGUUUGAUAUAAUGUCCGAAUGAAAGAAUUGUGAUCAAAUGAGCAUGAGACCACCACCUGAUCCAAUAGCUGUACUGAGAGGUCAUCGUGUUUCUGUUAUGGAUGUUUGUUUUCAUCCUUCUCAGAAUUUGGUGUUCUCAAGGUAAAUAUAUUAAUCAUGUUUUGAAGCAUUGUUAAAUUAUGUCGCAAUUUAUAAUCCAAACUAUUUUAUUUAUAUUAAUUUUCUAAUUUCCUUUUUUCUCUUGUUUGCACAUUGGGCUGAUGGUUAUUUUGGCUUCAUGUUGGGCUACCUUUGUUGGUCAAAGUUGUCAACGCAUUUUCAAUUCCAACAGUGUUUUGUAGAACAAAUAUAGGAAGAAAAGUUGGCUCCACAACGUCGAUCGCAGCGCCACAUGGGCGGCCAGAUGCAGCAGAGAAAUGCCUCUGCAACUUCUCUGUAUGAUCAACCUGUAGAAGACUAGAAGGUAAUACAGCCAUGCAGGUCCUUCUGGUGAUGCCGGAGAUGCUGUAAUGGCAAGAUGCUGUAAUGCCGGAGAUGCUGUUUUGGAGAAAUUAUACAAAGCUAGAUGGGGUCUAGAGGAUGGAGUAGGUAGCAUUAUCAUGUCUCCAACUCGUGAGUUAGCAGACCAGCUAUUCAUUCGGUGUACUGAAAUCUGUCGGCAAGCAUCACGGGUUCAGUGCAGGCCUUUUAAUUGGUGGACACGAAUACGACGAAGAGAAAGAUCACGUGAAUCGUAUGAAUAUAUUAAUUUGUACACCUGGACGCCUUCUCAAGCACAUGGACACAACCCCAAAUUUUGAUUGUUCACAACUACAGGUCAUAAUAUAUUUUUAACUUUUUUAUUUUUUAUUU